rnacentral:rRNA from 1 species
UACGUAGGGGGCUAGCGUUGUCCGGAUUUAUUGGGCGUAAAGAGCGUGUAGGCGGCCAGGUAGGUCGGUUGUGAAAACUGGAGGCUCAACCUUCAGACGUCGACCGAAACCAUCUGGCUAGAGUCCGGGAGAGGAGAGUGGAAUUCCUGGUGUAGCGGUGAAAUGCGCAGAUAUCAGGAAGAGCACCCGUGGCGAAAGCGGCUCUCUGGAACGGUACUGACGCUGAGACGCGAAAGCGUGGGGAGCGAACAGG